GGGCACGUAGCGUAGGGGUUAUCGCGCUCGCUUUGCAUGAAAAUCCGACGAUGAAUAACAUGCUGCGAGAGGUCUCCGGUUCAAUUCCGGACGUGUCCA
rnacentral:tRNA from 1 species